rnacentral:rRNA from 1 species
AGUAAAAGUCGUAACAAGGUUUCCGUAGGUGAACCUGCGGAAGGAUCAUUAUCGAGUUUUUGAAGUGGGGGCUUUGAUGCUGGCUUUAUUGCAUGUGCUCAGGCCCCCCGCUCCAAUCCACUCAACCCCUGUGCACUAUUCGGAAUUUGUGGGAUUAGCUUUUUUUCCUAGAAAAAGGAAGCUAGUUUUGCCUUUUCCGUUCCUUAUAACAAUACAAACGCUUCAUUGUGUCUUGUAAAAUGCAAAUACCUUUGAUUAGGUGAAACUUAAAUAAUACAACUUUCAACAACGGAUCUCUUGGCUCUCGCAUCGAUGAAGAACGCAGCGAAAUGCGAUAAGUAAUGUGAAUUGCAGAAUUCAGUGAAUCAUCGAAUCUUUGAACGCACCUUGCGCUCCUUGGUAUUCCGAGGAGCAUGCCUGUUUGAGUGUCAUGUUAAUAUCAAUCCCUUUGGCUUUGUUGUCAUUGAGAUUGGACUUGGGGGGAUAAAUGCUGGCUUCAUUGUCGGCUCCUCUUGAAUGCAUUAGCCUUAGACCUUUCUUCGCGUCUUGCAGUGUGAUAGUUAUCAUUAUUCGCUCGGAUGCCUAGAAACAGGGUCUGCUUCUAAUCGUCGCAAGACAAACUAUUUCUUGACUCUGACCUCAAAUCAGGUAGGACUACCCGCUGAACUUAAGCAUAUCAAUAAGCGGAGGA